GCAGUCGGUUUCACAUCAAUUCACAUGCGUUGGUGUGGGUUGGAGUGGAACUUAAACUAAAUUCCACCUCAAUCCACUCGAACACAUAUGGAUCGAGGUGAAUCCAAACA
rnacentral:pre_miRNA from 1 species